rnacentral:tRNA from 1 species
GGAAGGCCUGUGGCUUGGUGGAAGAACCUUUGCCUGGUGUGCUAAAGGUUCCAGGUUCAAUCCCUGGCAUCUCCA